rfam:Astyanax mexicanus chromosome 13, whole genome shotgun sequence.
GUUGGCUACGGAGACAUGGUACCAACUACAAUUGGUGGGAAGAUUGUCGGUUCUCUCUGUGCCAUCGCUGGUGUGCUGACCAUUGCCUUGCCUGUUCCUGUUAUUGUCUCAAAU